rnacentral:rRNA from 1 species
GCCUAAAUUUUAGCCCUAAUUUUUCAUAUAACACCCCCACACUAAACCACCGCCACUAAAACAUUCUAACAAUCUAGUACAGGCGAUCGAAAAACUUCUCAGAGCUAUAAAUAGUACUGCAAAGGAACAAUGAAAUAGAAAUGAAAGAACAUUAAAGCCUCACACAGUAGAGACGCACCCUCGUACCUUUUGCAUCAUGAUCUAGCAAGUCCAAGCAAGCAAAGAGAACUAUAGUCUGCCACCCCGAAACUAAGUGAGCUACUCCAAGGCAACUGAUAGAGUUAACCCGUCUCUGUGGCAAAAGAGUGGGAAGACCUUCGAGUAGAGGUGAUAAACCUAUCGAACUUAGUGAUAGCUGGUUACUCAAAAAACGGAUGUAAGUCCAACCUUAAGCCUAAACAACACAACCUAGUACCCCCACUGCUUAAGAGCCAAUCAAAUAAGGUACAGCUUAUUUGACACAGGAUACAGCCUCAGCCCCCGGGUAAUACACCCCCCCCCCCGACAAAGUGGGCCUAAAAGCAGCCACCUUUUAAAUGGCGUCAAAGCCUAAUCACAAAACAUCUUUAAUCCCAUACACCACGUAAAACCCAUACCUUCUAUUGAGUGAUCUUAUAACAAUAUAAGAAACACUAUGCUAAAAUCAGUAACAUGAGGAAAUCCCCUCUCUCUCGUGCAAGUGUAAAUCAAAAUGGACCCACCGCUGAUAAUUAACAUCCAUGUCAUUAAGACAGCAACAUAACAAGAAAAACCUGCCCAACACAAUGUUAACCUAACACAAGAGCACUACAAGAAAGAUUAAAAGAAGCGGAAGGAACUCGGCAAAAAUCAACCUCGCCUGUUUACCAAAAACAUCGCCUCUUGAAAAUAUAAGAGGUCCAGCCUGCCCAGUGACUCUGUUCAACGGCCGCGGUAUUCUGACCGUGCGAAGGUAGCGUAAUCACUUGUUCUUUAAAUAAGGACUAGUAUGAAAGGCACCACGAGGGUUGCACUGUCUCCCGCCUCCAAUCAGUGAAAUUAAUCCUCCCGUGAAGAAGCGGGAAUAAACAUAUAAGACGAGAAGACCCCAUGGAGCUUAAAACAAAAGGCACAUGCAAACCUAAAGUCAAGCAUUCUGUCCCCAAGUUUUCGGUUGGGGCGACCACGGAGUAUAAUAUAACCUCCACGCUGAAUGAUUCCCCAUCUUAGCCAAAAUCUACAACUUUAAGCAUCAGCACCCUGACUACCAUUGACCCAAUACAAUUGAUCAACGAACCAAUGUUACCCUGGGGAUAACAGCGCAAUCUACCUAAAGAGCCCCUAUCGACAGGUGGGUUUACGACCUCGAUGUUGGAUCAGGGUAUCCCAGUGGUGCAGCAGCUACUAACGGUUCGUUUGUUCAACGAUUAAAACCCUACGUGAUCUGAGUUCAGACCGGAGUAAUCCAGGUCAGUUUCUAUCUAUAAAGAGUUCAUUUUAGUACGAAAGGACCAAAUGAACACGGCCAAUAUUACUGAUAAGCCGUAGCCCUAAUUUAUGACCCUCACUCAAUCUAAACCCAGCCUCUUAAACACUCCAAGACAAGGAAUA